GCCCCCGUGGCCCACCCUUGGCCCCGGGCCCCAAAUCUUCUGGUUCACUGGAUCCUAGACCCUGGUCGCUUUCUUCCCCCACCGACUCCAGGUCCCCAGCACCCCAUCCCCCUGGUGCCCCAACCUAUCUCUGGAUUCCUGGAGACCCCUGCCCCUGAACCCCCUACCCCUCCCCAGCCCCUCCACAGACCCCUGGACCCUCAGCCCCCCAGUGCCCCACUCUGCCCAAACCUCCUCCCAUUCCUGGACAUCCCUGCCCCUGCCGCCAGGCAUCCCUGCCUAUGGAACCACAGUACCCCAGCACCAGGCCCCCCAGCACCCUUGCUUCUGCCACCCCAAACCUCCAGGCCCUCCAGGAACCCCCCUCCCGACCCCCUCCCGCUGCCUCCCCAGCUUCCCCUGCCCAGUCAUCGGGGGCCCUCCCCGUGCCCAAACCUCCCCCUCCUCAUCCCCAGCGCCCCCUCCACGGACUCCCGGACCCUGGGCCCCCUCCUCACCCCCCACAUCUGGCGGUGCCCGAGCUUCCCCUCCCCCACCCCAACGCGCUCAGGUACACACACAUGUGGUCCCCCCCUCCCUCCCGGCUACCCUCGCCCCCCGCGGCCCCCUGCCGCCCCCAGUCCUAGGGCCCCCGCACCAGGCACCCCCCCCCCCGCCGCUCCUCCGCCUGGCCCUGGAGGGCGCACCUUCCCGGACCCUCGGUGCGGUGGGUCCUGCCCUCUGACGCCCCCAGGUCUGGGCCCCGCCGGAGCAGAGCCCGGCGGCGCGUCACAAAGGCGGCGGCCCUGGCUCCCAGCACCCCCACCCCCAGGGCGCGGGCGCCCGUCGGGGAGUCGUCGGAGCGCAGGCGGCGCGGGCGGGGCAGGCAGCGGCUCGCGGUCUCCGCAGCCCGAACGGGGCACAGCCGGCGGGGCGCGGCGAGCGGGUAACGGCCCUACGCCUCCUCCUGGAAGCCGUCCGGGGCACCCUACCCUUUCCUCCCGGGUUGGCAGCUGGGGCAGGUGCACGCGCCCCGGUCCGGAGUGGGUUGGAAUCCCACCUCCCCAUGGUUAG
rnacentral:lncRNA from 1 species